GGAAUAUUGCGCAAUGGAGGAAACUCUGACGCAGCGACGCCGCGUGGGUGACGAAGGCCUUCGGGUCGUAAAACCCUGUUGAAAGGGAAGAAAAUCAUGGUGGCUAAUAUCCAUCGUGUUUGACGGUACCUUUUGAGGAAGCACCGGCUAACUACGUGCCAGCAGCCGCGGUACUACGUAGGGUGCGAGCGUUGUUCGGAAUUAUUGGGAGUAAAGCGCGUGUAGGUGGUUAUGUACGUCGGGUGUGAAAGCCCUGGGCUCAACCGAGGAAGUGCAUCCGAAACUGCAUAACUAGAGGACGCUAGAGGAGGGUGGAAUUCCUAGUGUAGAGGUGAAAUUCGUAGAUAUUAGGAGGAAUACCGGUGGCGAAGGCGGCCCUCUGGGGCGUUCCUGACACUGAGACGCGAAAGCGUGGGGAGCAAA
rnacentral:rRNA from 1 species